AUUUAUGUAGUUUAAUAUAAAACACUUCAUUUUCAAUGAAAAGAUAAGCAUAACUUCUUAAAUA
rnacentral:tRNA from 1 species